GUAGUCGUGGCCGAGUGGUUAAGGUGAUGGAUUACAAAUCCAUUGGGGUUAUCCCACGCAGUUUUGAAUCCUGCCGACUAUG